ensembl:snRNA U6 U6 spliceosomal RNA
GUGCUCAAUCCAGCAGCACGUACAUAAAACUGGAAUCGUAUAGAGAAGAUUAGAACGCUCCCUGCGCAAGUACAACAUGCACGUCUUUAACAUGUUUCUGGUUUUG